UAGGGAAUCUUCCACAAUGGGCGCAAGCCUGAUGGAGCAACACCGCGUGAGUGAAGAAGGGUUUCGGCUCGUAAAGCUCUGUUGUUAAAGAAGAACACGUAUGAGAGUAACUGUUCAUACGUUGACGGUAUUUAACCAGAAAGUACACGGCUAACUACGUACCAG
rnacentral:rRNA from 1 species